CCUAAUUUCACUCAUUUCCUAAAGUUAUACCCUAAAAUCGCUAACCCUACAUUCUGAAAGGGAAAGAAAGGAAACAUGGGAGCUUGAGGGGGAAAACAAAAAGGAAAAAGAAAGAAAGGGAACAGAGAUGGAGUAAAGGGGAAAUGAGAAACUGAGGAAAGGGAGAAGAGGGAUCAGGGAAGCCAGAGGAAAGGGCGACGGCAGAGGGUGUAAUUACGGCCGCUGCUGUUAAAAUCGGAAGGGAAGCACCAGAGAACAGAGAAACACGAACGAUCGAGGGAGAAGGUAGCGUCAUCACCGUGCCUCACCAUCGUCGCUGAAGCUUCAAUCGCUAUUGUCCCUGCUUGGUUGCCACUGGCAUCGAACAGAACAGGGGAGAGGAGCACGAAUUGGAAGAGGAAAGGGAGCUCUGUUACGGGCUCGUCGCAAGGAAAAGAGGUGAUGUUGGUGGGGAUCGCUGCUGGUGUCGUCGCCGUGACUGGGGUUCAUGGUCGCUACUGCUGUUGGUGACGGACUAGGUCGUAUCCUAGCUGCCAGAACCGCCAUUAUCGUGGCCUUGUUAUUUCGGGUCAACCAUGUCUCUGUCUCUGAUGUACCUUGUCAUGGCAUAUCCGUUGGAGCUGCCGUGGUUGGGGCUUGCUAUCAGAGAAAGCAAUUUGCUGCCACCAUCUUUCAAUCUGGCCAGCAUCAUCCUCUUUGAUCAAGUCCCAAUGCCAAUUUUCUGUUUCUUAAACCUGUAACCCUUUCUUCCUUACUCUUCUAUCAUUUUGUUCAUCCGUUAUACUCUGUCCUAAUUAUAGUAGCAUAUGGCUUUGUUCUAGUUGUCAAUUUAUCUCCUGAGAAAUCACAAUUGGUGUUGAGGUCGUUGAUGUUGCUACUGUUAUGCUAUUGCUAGCUGCAAGAGUUUUACUACUGCGGGUUAGAAAUUGAUGGUUGCCUUAUCCUAAAAUUCUGUGGAUUUCGAUAAAGUGAGUUACACAUGUUUGAAGAUGCAAUUUGAAGCUGCGAGCGAUUAAUAGGUUUUCUUUAUGGUUUUAAUUGCUUUCAUAGAGUCCCAUCGCUGUUGUCCCUUGAGAUUUUAUUUCAUAUAGAGGGGUAGGUUUGGUAUAUUGUAUUUGAGUUUCAUUUGGUUUCUUUUGUAUAAGAAUUAUUAUCAAUAGUAAUUAUGUGAUUAUUAUUACUUGUAAAUGUUUGAAUUAUGACUUUAAUGAAUAAAAACAAAAUUUUUGGCUUUUUCUUAAAAUCGAAACGCAAACUCAAUACAAAGGCUCGAUAAUUAAGUAGUUAAUACCAGAGAAGGUUACGUAAUGUUCUUUCUAGUAGAAAUACCCUGACUUAAGCAAGGUAAUUUUGCUGGACGGGACGUUACAAAAACACUUUUGGUGUAUUUAGAUAAUUUUUUGGUGUAUAUAUGAUUUAUUUCUGUGU